GGCGCGGGCCCGCUGCCGCCGCCGCCCAGCGGCAUGGUGUAUCUGGUGCUGCUCGUGCCGGUGGCGGUGGUGGCUACACUGGCACUGACCGCCAUUCUGUGCCUCUGCUAUGUCAGCCGUCUACCCCAGACGCCCUGCGGAGCUGAACGCGGCGCAAAGAGUACUCUGAUGAACUACGAUGAAGCUCGCUAUAACACCUCAGAAGCUGAACAUCGGAGCCAGCUUCUUCCAGGCUCAGAGCCAUCUCGCGGUCUCUCAGAAAGCUACAGCUCACAGCUCUGCCACGGGCGUCGCUACCAUCAGCUGCGCCUACACCCCUCGCCAACACCCGAUCGUCGUUGGUGUCCGAGAGAACGCACAUGCGUGGAGCGUCGCCUCGGGAGCAGUUCAACUCCCAUCGGAUGUACCUGCCGACCACUACCAGAAUCAAACUCCUCGCUGGCGUGCGCUGGGCGUCCGCCGCGCGCGAUACCAGCGCAGUAUGCAUGCUGAGCUGCGGAAAUAUCGCGCCUUGUGAGGGCGGGAGACAGAAGAAUAACGGCAUCAGGAUUAAAACUGGUCGCUUAGUUUGAAGUAUGGGCGUUCCCAGCUGUGAUAUGGGCCCACGCCACCCAGCAAUGGUGCGGUGGGGUGGACAAUAGUGACUGGAGAUUUCGCUGGA